UAAAGGCUUAAAAUAACAUUAUUCUUGUUUCAGUAAGAUUAAAGUAUGAUCUUACCUCAGUUUCUCCAGUUUACAGUGAGGAUCCUUCAGUCCAUCAGAGAGCAGCGUCAGACCUCCACCUCCUAUUAUAUUCCCAUUCAGAUCCAGUUCUCUGAGGUGUGAGUUUGAUCUCAGAGCUGAAGCCAGAGCAGCACAACCUUCAGCUGUGAUAUUACAAUCCUCCAACCUGCAGAACAACAACACAAUCUCUCAGUUCAGCAGAAACUACACAAUCACAGAGAGAAUGAGAUAUUAAACACUAAAUCUGUGUGGGUUUAAUGUUUUUAUUACUUUUUGUUGACUUUUUGCUUUAUUGUGUGUUAAAUGUAAAUCACGAUGGGAAAAAUAUAAGGAUAAUAAUCCCUUAAAAUAGUAUUAUUCUUGUUCAAAUUAAGACCAAGUUCAAGACACCAAGAUCAGUUUCAGAGUGGACUUCAUCAACAGUUGUAGUGAUUACAGUGGUUACAUCAGCCACAACAUUCAAAUGUACACAUGAUCACAGAGCAAAAACAACAUCAUAAUAUUGCUGAAAAAUAAUAAUCGUAAAUAAAAAUUCUCCAAAGUCUAAUGCGAACAGGAUGUGUGAAUAGCUGUUGGCGCUCUGCCUUUAUAAAGCAGCACCAAACGGCAAUUACACUGAAUCGUUCUUCUUCAGAUUCUUGACUUGUCGUUGUCUGAACAAGCCCAACAUAGAAGUCACUAUAGAAAAGCACCUCUUCAGCGGACGGAAACACAAGCUGCUUUUGUGAACGGCGCGCGCUCCACUGCUGUACGCGUUCCUGUGAGAAGACGUGACGUACAAGAGGCUGAGCUUGUGAGGCGCUAAAAACUGUCAAAUACUGUUAUUUAUAUUUAUUAACGCUGUUAUAUAUUGUUCAUCCAAAGCAUCACUGAAAUAUUUACUUUUUUUUUUAUUUAAAUAAAAAAAAAAAAACUGAUCUAUUAUUUUCUCUUCCUGUUAUAUUUUUCAAUGAUUCAAUCAAUGACAUUACAAAGUGAAAAUAAUGCAGGUGUUUUUCAUUGCACGUUUUUCAAUUUAAAAAAUCUUUCUGUUUUUGUAACUUUUAGUGAAAUUAUUUGGUAGUCAGUCAGAGUGUGUGUGUGUGUGUGUGUGUGUGUGUGUGUGUGUGUUAGAAGUGUAACGGUACACAAAAAUGACCUUGGUAAUGAAAUCACAGUUCGGUGCAGAUUCAGUACAGCAGGAGGGAGAAAACUAAAAUUGCUUUUUUCUUUUUAUUAAACUGGUUUACUAAAUAAACUGUGUCUCUGUUUUUAAAUAAAUUCAAUUACAGUUUGACCCAUUUCAGAGGCGUCCAAAAUCAGAAUUUAAAAUGGACUGAAUAAAGCUCUCUACGAACUUGACGUGUGAUGCCGCACUGACUGACAUGAAUGAAUCACUGUCACACGCACACGCUCAGAGAAAUAUUGUAAAUUACUGCAUAAUACAUUUUUAACAAGCAGAAUAAUACAGUCACGAUACACACAGUCUCACUUUUAUCUUCUUUUAACUAUCAUCGUGUUUCGAAAGACAAAAACAUGAACUUUAACUAUUGGCUUUACAUCAUAAAUUCAGCUGUCACUUUACUUCGGCCCGAGGCUCUGUGCGGUCACACACUUGACACAGCUCUUGCUACAGUUCUGGUCAGACGUGCCAUAUAGGCCUAUACAUAACACAACAGCACUCUGGGUAACCACACCCCGCUCCAUCCGCUGGCGGUACUGGUACGGUCCAACCGCGAGCACAAAACAUGGAAAUGGAAAAAUAGGAAUAAUCACUUUCAGUUCAACUUAGAAAAUGUGCAGAGCGGUGGGUCCCCAGGACCAGAGAUGAGAACCACUGACAUAAAAUACAUAUAAAUAUCAGCCGCCACUCUAUAUCUGUCAACAACAUGAUAUUUAAAUGCUUAGUUUUAUUAUCAAAGCCCUGUAAUUUUACAACAUAUAAUGAAUGCAAUACAAUAAUGAUUGAGAGAUGAACAAAUAAAUAUUCUUUAAAAGUCUGAUAGAUCAUAUUUAAUACAUUUGAACAUGAUUUUUUUAAAACAAACAAACAAAAAGAUGUAUGGAUGACUAAGUAAACCUCAGUCGACUCGCUUUAGUCCAGAAAAUGAUCAUCUUGAAAUAUUAUUAACAAUAUAAAGGUUAUUCUUGUUUACUUCAUAAAAUUCAGUAAAGAUUUAAAAGCAAAAAGACACACGUGAACCACGAGCUGAAGAGACACAUUUUAAAACUAUACUAAAAGACCUGGGGACACUUGAUAUUCAACUAUGUUUUUGAUCUGUCUGCACUGACACUAUUGUAUGAGAACUGAACUGAGCUGGACGAUUACGUCACUGUUUUCUCCAGUGCUGAUAUAUAGAUAAAUUACCUAAAUUAAUAACUAUUGAGUUUUACAACAGAAUGAAUCAAUACUGAAUUUAAGCUGGACAAUGACACCAUUUUCUUUAAAAGCUGCUGUGCAGCCAAAAUUAUUUACCAGUUAUCAUUGUAAAGCCGCUUUGAAACAAUCUGAACUGUAAAAAGCACUAUAUAAAUAAAGGUGACUUGACUUGACCUUUUACUUCCUAAAAAAACUAUAAACUAUCAAUCAGACAACAGAAGUAGUAGAUUGUAACAGGUUUUUGAUCAUGUUGAUAAUUUAGAUCAAAUAUGAUACAAUAGGAAUUAAAGGCUUAAAAUAACAUUAUUCUUGUUUCAGUAAGAUUAAAGUAUGAUCUUACCUCAGUUUCUCCAGUUUACAGUGAGGAUCCUUC